CCUACGGGGGGCUGCAGUGGGGAAUAUUGGACAAUGGGGGGAACCCUGAUCCAGCCAUGCCGCGUGUGUGAAGAAGGCCCUCGGGUUGUAAAGCACUUUCAGUGAGGAAGAACGCCUGGUGGUUAAUACCCAUCAGGAAAGACAUCACUCACAGAAGAAGCACCGGCUAACUCCGUGCCUGCAGCCGCGGUAAUACGGAGGGUGCGAGCGUUAAUCGGAAUUACUGGGCGUAAAGCGCGCGUAGGUGGCUUGAUAAGCCGGUUGUGAAAGCCCCGGGCUCAACCUGGGAACGGCAUCCGGAACUGUCAAGCUAGAGUGCAGGAGAGGAAGGUAGAAUUCCCGGUGUAGCGGUGAAAUGCGUAGAGAUCGGGAGGAAUACCAGUGGCGAAGGCGGCCUUCUGGACUGACACUGACACUGAGGUGCGAAAGCGUGGGUAGCAAACAGGAUUAGAUACCCUUGUAGUC
rnacentral:rRNA from 1 species